AGACGGUUGGGUACUUGCAAACUCGCCGCCAGCACAGCUCCUGUUGCUGUCAAUUUUGGACUCUGGCUUUUUUGUGCCAUACGUGCCAGACAGGCUGCUGUUCAGCCUUGUGUCCUCAGCCUUGACGAGGCAGUCAUCAGGCGAGUGCUGCACAGGCUUGAGGCCUCCAGUUGUUGGCAGGUUCAGAUUACAAUCAUACAGAGAGGAGACUGCAAUAGAGAUGGCUGGUGAUGUUUCAAAAUGGGGGUGGUCAAAGCCCAUUGUUCGGCUGUUGCUCCGCUUGACUGCAGCUGCGUUUCAUUACGAUUCGGAUUCAUACAAUAUUUUGGGUUUCCCGUUGAGCAUUUGCCAGUUCGGGGUUGGGCCACAAUUGCUCGACCGUCCAGCCAGCACGGGGCAGUAAAAGCCACAGCUAAAUGUAAAUGCAGUCCCGGCCCCUGACCCAGCCUUGUUAAUUAAAAUGCUCUCGAUAUGGACAGCGGCGGACAACGAGAGUUGGGGUUGCCAUUGGAUCCAAAGUGGCUUCGGGCUGCAGGAGGCAGUGGUUUAACGGAAAAAUGUAAAAAGCAGACAAACAAUCUGAAAAAUAUGUGCAGCACCAAAGAGUAAUAAUAGUAGAACAGAUAUUACUCGAAUACUCGUAUAACCUGCAAUAAAACAACAGUCUGCCAGCCGAAAUGAAGGGAAAGCAGCACAUAGUCAAGCCCAUUAUUGAGAGUCCAUUCAAAUAAAGUGUUAUAUUGUACCCUUGUACGAGUAUAUGUACAACCUCUAAAUAAAUUCUUUACUUUCUAAUCCUA